GCUUAUUGAAGUGACUACAAAUCCCAUUCAUUGUGGGCAAGACUGAUCCCAGUUAUUAGGAUUGUUAAAGCAGAAAAGCAGAAGAGACGCUUUUUGAAGACCAAAUCCAGAGUCAGCAGGACCUAGGGCCUAGAAGGUAUGACAUAAACAAUAGGUUUGGAAUAAUUCAGGAUGAUGCCAAGUCCAGCUCAGUCCUCCUCCUCCUCCUGCCCCCACAACCACCCCUCUCAAUGAUACAGGAGGAGAAGAAGGAGAUUAAGAGAAAAAGGAAAAGAAUUGGAGGCUGGU
rnacentral:lncRNA from 1 species